rnacentral:rRNA from 1 species
ACUAAACCUAGCCCUACAUACAUAAAAUACAACUAUAAACAAACAUAAAACAAAACAUUUGACAAAAGUCAGUAUUGGAGAAAGAAAACCACACUAGGAGCUAUAGAAACAGUACCGCAAGGGAAAGAUGAAAGAUAAGUUAAAAGUACAAAAUAAGCAAAGAUUAAACCUUGUACCUUUUGCAUAAUGAGUUAACUAGAAAACCCCUAGCUAAGAGAGCUUAAGCUAGAAACCCCGAAACCAAACGAGCUACCUAUGAGCAGUAAUAGAACUAACCCAUCCAUGUAGCAAAAUGGUGGGAUGACUUGCAGGUAGAGGUGAAAAGCCUAACGAGCUUGGUGAUAGCUGGUUGCCCAAUAAAGAAUUUAAGUUCAACUUUAAGAUUACCAUAAGAAAAUUCAAUCAAAAUGUAAUCUUAAAUUUUAGCCCUAAGAGGGACAGCUCCUAGGGAAUGGAAACAACCUUUUAUAGUGAAUAAAUCAAAACUGAAAGACCAUUGUUGGCCUAAAAGCAGCCACCAAUAAAGAAAGCGUUAAAGCUCAACACUAUAUUACUUAAAUACCAUAAGCCAAAAUGAUUUCCUAUAAAAUUAAUUGGGCUAAUCUAUACAAAUAUAGAUGAAAUACUGUUAACAUUAGUAACAAGAACUAUGUUCUCCAGGCACAAGCCUAUAACAACACGGAUAACCAUUGUUAGUUAACACCUAUAAGUGAAUACUCCGCUAAUACAAAACACCUAUAUUAAGAUGUUAACCCAACACAGGAGUGCCAUAAGGAAAGAUUAAAAGAAGUAAAAGGAACUCGGCAAACAAGAAUCCCGCCUGUUUACCAAAAACAUCACCUCUAGCAUAAAAAGUAUUAGAGGCACCGCCUGCCCAGUGACAAAAGUUAAACGGCCGCGGUAUCCUGACCGUGCAAAGGUAGCAUAAUCACUUGUUCCUUAAUUGGGGACUAGAAUGAACGGCUUAACGAGGAUUCAACUGUCUCUUACUUCUAAUCAGUGAAAUUGACCUUCCCGUGAAGAGGCGGGAAUAAAACAAUAAGACGAGAAGACCCUAUGGAGCUUUAAUCUCCUAUUUCAACUCUUUAAAUACAAAUCCUAAAAGGAUCAAAAAAUGAGAGAUAAAAUAGAGAUUUAGGUUGGGGUGACCUCGGAGCACAAACUAACCUCCGAAAGAUUUAUUGACCUAGACCAACAAGUCAAAGUAAUAAAAAUCAAAUUGACCCAAUCUUUUUGACCAACGGACCAAGUUACCCUAGGGAUAACAGCGCAAUCCUAUUCAAGAGUCCAUAUCGACAAUUAGGGUUUACGACCUCGAUGUUGGAUCAGGACAUCCCAAUGGUGUAGCAGCUAUUAAUGGUUCGUUUGUUCAACGAUUAAAGUCCUAUGUGAUCUGAGUUCAGACCGAAGUAAUCCAGGUCGGUUUCUAUCUAUUAACUAUUUCUCCCAGUACGAAAGGACAAGAUAAAUGGGGCCUCCUUAACCAAAGUGCCCUAAAACUAAUAUAUGAAAUUAUCUCAAUUUAGUAAGUUUGUAGCAUUACACCCUAGAUAAGGGUUCC